rnacentral:rRNA from 1 species
AUGGCCUCGUCGCCGCCGCCGCCGACCACCGUCCGCCGGAACCCUCCCCGCCGCGGCAGGCCGGCCCUGACCCCAGGCCCGACCCCCGCCCAGGCGCCGACCCCGACCACGGGCACCCUCCGCUCCCGCCGCCGGAAAGCCCUGGUCAUCUCCCGCCUGCUCGACGACGAACCCGCCGCGGCGGCGGCGGCAGCGGCUCCCGCGGCCGCCGCCACCCCUCUCCCGCCUCCUCCGCCGACCCCACCCGACGCCGCCAUUUCCCCUCCCCACCCCCCUCCUCCCGCCGCGGCGGCCGCCACGGCGCUCACCUCCUCGACCUCGUCGUCGGCGGCGGCGGAGGAGCGCCUCAAGGUCUACCUCCGCAUCCGCCCGCUCCCGGCGCCGGAGCGGGAGCGCGGCUGCAGGCCUGCCGCCGGCCGCGCCAGGGCCAAGGAGCAGCCGCCGCCGCCCAAGAAGCAGCAGCAGCCGCCGGGGGUCUGCCUCGUCGCCACCGGCCCCGGCUCCGUCGCGCUCACCGUCCCCCAGGCCAAGCUCGUCGACCACCGGCGCGGCCGCACCGCCACCGAGGUCUUCGACGGCUUCUCCGCCGUCCUCCCGCCCGACUCCUCGCAGAAUGAUAUCUUUACUCAAGUGAUGAACCCGCUGGUGGACGAGUUCUUGGGAGGAAAGAGCGGCCUUCUGGUGGCGAUGGGUCCGACGGGGUCCGGCAAGACGCACACCGUCUUUGGUACUGCGAGAAAUCCCGGCCUAGUACCGCUCACUCUACAGAAGAUCUUCACUGCGGCAGAUGAAUCCGAAGGUGGCAACCAAUCGCCAAGAUCGUUUUACUUGUCAAUGUUCGAGAUACUCUGUGAAGGAAAAGGAGAACGGAUUCUCGAUCUUCUGUCUGAUGCAGCAGAACUGGCCCUCCAGCAGUCAGCAACAAUUAAAGGCCUUAAAGAGGUGGCCAUUUCAAGUGCCAUGGAUGCUGAGAGUUUAGUUUCACGUGGCAUGCUUAAGCGGAGCACAGCUGCAACUGAUGCUAACAGCGAGUCAAGCCGGUCACAGUGCAUCAUCACUAUACGUGCUGUUCAUAAAACUGUUGACCAACAAAGUGAGCACCAGAUUAGUGGAUCUGUCCUGACAAUUGCUGACCUUGCUGGAGCAGAGCGAAAAAAGAAUACCGGAAAUAAGGGUUCAAGGUUGUUGGAGAGUAACUUUAUCAACAAUACGUCCAUGGUUUUCGGUCUAUGUCUGAGGGCUUUAUUAGAUCAUCAGAAAAAUCAGAAGAAAACCUUGGAGAAACAUUUUAAGAACUCAAUGUUGACUAGGUACUUGAAAGACUACCUGGAAGGAAGGAAGAAGAUGACUCUGAUUUUGAACGUGAAACCAGGAGAAGAUGACUACGCUGAUACAUCAUAUUUGCUCAGACAAGCAUCUCCUUACAUGAAAAUAAGGUACACCAGCCUUGAUGAAUCUUCUGAUUUGGUUUCCCAAAAGAGAACCAAUGUUUCCCUGGUUUGCCAAGAGAACAAGAAAAAGAGGAAGGUUAACAAGCCCGAACCUGAAGUUGUUACGGCUGAAGAAAAAGAGCUGCAAAGAGUGUCUCGAAGUGAACAAAUCAUGAAGAACCUUUUCAAUGCUUUAUGGACUGUUUCAAAACAAAAGAUUUCGGAGUCUGAGGUUGCUGCUAAAAGCAUGCGGGAAUUGCUCAAAGAUAAAGACAUUGAAAUUCUAGAGCUGAAAAAGGAGUUGGAUGACCUGAAGUCUCGUUGGUCACACGUUAAGCAAAAUGAUGCUGCAUCAAUUGCUAUAAGCUCGGUUUCUCAAACUGACCUGGCCAGUGACGCUGCAUUAGACAAUUUCCAUUUGAGCACUGAGUUGGUACAAAAGAUCUCAGAAGAAUGUACAUAUUCUGAUCCAGAAAUGUCUUCAGCUUAUUGCGAUAUGACAGAGAAAUCCGUCGACUGUGAUACCUCUGUUGCUAAUUUGAUAGAUGAACAAGAAUUGAGCUCCAGAUAUUUGAAGAAAGAGGCAUGCACUCCUGAUGUUACUGAACCCAAGUGCGAUCUGAAAAAGGAAAAUACGGAGAUAAUGGGACAAGUGGGCAACAAGGAAUCUGAUGGUUCUGAGAGUUCUGAACAGACUUCGGCACCUGACGGUGGUGUAACACAUGCACCCAGUCAUUUGGAUGAUCCAUCUGAGCUAAGCUAUACAGAACUUCGUAUUGUUCCAUGUAAUCUGUCCGCACAGUUUACUGAUAUACAAGUUAGCGAGAAAGCUCCCAUGGAACAAAGUAAAGAAGAGCUAAGCAGCAAUACAGAAGUGGAGAGUAUUCAACAUGGCGUCGACAUAAAAGAAAUGAAGCAGCAUGAUUAUCAAAGUUCAUCUCAGCAACUGAACUGUGAUGCUGGAGACGUUAGCUCCAAUCAGCCUUUCUUAGAGUUGCAAGGCAUGGGUGCUGCUCACCAGAAUCUUGAUGAACUGGUGCCUGAGCCAGAAAUUUGCGAGCACACGGUAAAGGAGGCUGCUGCAGAACACGCACAUGGCCGACAUGUACCAGACGAAGGGCUUCCCCAGACGAAGGCUUCAAUAGCUCCAACCAAGGACUGCCAGGCAGGGGGGACCGCGGAUGACCAAAAGGAGAACCUUUGCCAGAAAGAAGCAAAUGAGGACCUUUGCGCUUCGAAGCCUCGUGAAAACACAAAGAAGACGUCAAGGAGGAGGCUGCUGCCGGUGGCGUCCAUGAUGCUCAAGGAGUUCACCGGCCCUGCCAUUGAUGCCGCGGAUACCAAGAGGGCCACGGAUGGAGGAGGCGCCAAGACAUUGUCAGGCGAGCAGGCGGCUGCUGGGCGAUCGGACGCGCUCAUCCGGCUCCUCAAAGCGAAAUCUCCGCCCAUGAGGCAUCGCCGGGGCUAG